rnacentral:lncRNA from 1 species
GGCCGACUGAGCAUUGACAUCCAAUGUGAUUCCGCAUGUUCCACGGUUUUGUUUUUUUUUUGCUUAUGUGAACAUGCACGACUCGCAAAAGCUUUUGGCUCAAGGGAAACAUGAUUUUAGUCUGGCCUGGCCAAUGUCCCGUUUUCAGUCUGGCUCAACCCCGCUGUUAGAAGACACUUUCUAUCACAGAAUAAAAAAAGAGAUUGCUUCUGUAGGUUGGUUCACAGAAAUGAGCAAGAAAUAAGGCCAUGUGUAACGUUAAAACUAGGCCAGUAGAACACCGAUGUCUAUAUGAAGAGGUGAGUUACCAUAUAUUUCUCAUUUGAAUGAUUGUUUUCACCUAAACUGAAAUGUUCUGCUGGACAAGGUGGGAUUUUAAUUCUUUGGUUUGGAUAAUUUUUUUUAGUAAAGAUUGAGGUGUCUAACUCUUUUAAUACACACACUGUUUCUUACAGAGGAAGUGCAAACUUAUUCCAGGAUCUGGUAUAAAUUUGGAGUAGGGACACUAAGGUUUUAUGUCUGAGAAUGCAACACUGUGGUCAUCUAGUUCUGGCUCCAAGCUCUUUAUCGGAUCUGGAACAAAGUUAAUUGUGCAGACCAAGAAAGUAGAAACACCAGCCUAUUACAGAUUUAAUAAGUCAUGUUUGGCAACCGACUUCACAAAACAUGAUGCUGUAAGCUUCACAGACGUUACACCAGUGCGAUAUUCAGGCCAAAAUUACUUCAGCAGCUUCACCUUUAAUGAUUCAGAACCCUGCCCAGAAAAAGACUGUAAGUCAGGAUCAUCCGGUCAAAAUGCUUAUUUUGAAACCGGUAAGUGUGCUUUUAUUUGCACAUUUAUAUAGUCUGCUGUGCGUUUCAUUUCAUUUGCAGUCCAUUACUACUAGUCUGUUACUGCCUGUUGUUUGA